rnacentral:rRNA from 1 species
UACGGAGGGAGCUAGCGUUGUUCGGAAUUACUGGGCGUAAAGCGCGCGUAGGCGGCUUUGUAAGUUAGAGGUGAAAGCCCGGGGCUCAACCCCGGGUCGGCCGUGCGGACUGCCGGGCUCGAGCACUGUAGAGGCGGGUGGAAUUCCGGGUGUAGCGGUGGAAUGCGUAGAGAUCCGGAAGAACACCGGUGGCGAAGGCGGCCCGCUGGGCAGUGGCUGACGCUGAGGCGCGACAGCGUGGGGAGCAAACAGG